AACGCAGCUAAUUGCGCGUCAACUUGUGAACUGCAGGACACAUGAACAUCGACAUUUCGAACGCACAUUGCGGUCCACGGAUACAAUUCCCGGACCACGCCUGGCUGAGGGUCGUU
rnacentral:rRNA from 2 species